rnacentral:misc_RNA from 1 species
AUACUUGUAUUUCGGUUUGCUUUCGUAGGUCGGGCGCUUUCUCCAGUACCCCUGUAUCAAGUUCAUCGGUCACGCCAUGUCUUUUGUGACCUUCCUGAUCAUGAUUCUGAUCUCCAGUGCGGAGGGCACCACGGACCUCAGUCGGAUGUCGUCAUUUCCGGGACCUUACAGACACUACCUCUGGUACAAAAACCAUAGCAGACUGACGCUACCUGAGGACUUCGUGGUUCGAACGUGCCGACCGGAAGUUAUACAAAUCGGACUCAGCUUGUGGAUUAUUGGCAUGCUCUGGCAGGAGAUUAAGCAGGUGUUCAGUGAGGGCCUGUACGACUACUUUGACUCCCUGUAUAAUUACCUGGACGUGGCCGUUCUCACCUUAUACCUGUCCUCAUUCACCUUAAAGUACGUCUGCAUCUGGAAGGUAAACGUUGCAUUACAAUAUUUUGAGGCUCGAGAACCCUGGGAGAAAUUACUUGUUAGUGACCAGACAGCAGCAAAGCAAAUGUACUGGAUCAUCGCAGACAGGUUUUACUGGGACUCACUCGACCCCCACAACAUAGCUGAGGGACUGUUUGCCAUUGCCAAUGUCAUAAGCUUCACUAGGGUCUCCUAUAUCCUACCAGCCAAUGAAAUGUUCGGUCCUAUGCAAAUCUCAAUAGCCCGGAUGAUGACGGACAUCAUCAAGUUCUUAGCGAUUUUUCUGGUGAUCCUGGUCGCCUUUAUGGUCGGUUUACACAAUCUGUACUGGUACUACCCUAAGCAAGUCCGGGAAAAAGUAGAAUUCAUGAAAAACAACAUCACAGUCAGGGCGGAGGAAGCUUUUGGAAUACCAGACAAGACAGUUCGGACUGUAUUCUGGUCACUGUUCGGGCGCGGGGAUGCCACUAUAGUAGAGUUAGACGAGUUUGAACACAUCUUCACCCAGUACGUGGGGUACUGGAUCUUUGGUGCCUACAACUGGUGCAGUGUCAUCGUUCUACUCAACAUGCUCAUUGCCAUGAUGUCCAGGUCAUUCGAACUCAUUCAGGAAGACUCGGACACCGAGUGGAAAUUCGCCCGUAGUAAGUUAUACAUGGACUACAUUAAAUCAGGAGCAACCCUACCCAUUCCGUUCAACAUGAUUCCCACUCCAAAGUCAGUCUGGAAGCUGUGCUCAAAAUUCAGUCGAUGUUUUUGUAAGGGGGAAGCAGGAGAGAUGAGGCCCCACCCCGGGAGGAUUAAGGAUGUGGAGCUGUACGCCACUAGUCCCACAACAACGAAUUCAGGGUGGGAUGAUGGACGCUCCGCACAUCAGGCAAACGGCAUCAAGAGAUUCCGAGAGAGAAUGCAGACGACAAAUGGCUUUGUCAGGAGUGAUUCCGAGCCCAAUCUGUUUGAAGAAAAAUUAACAUAUAAAAGAGUAAUGAAAAGAAUUGUUAAACGAUACAUAUUUGACAUGCAGAGAGAAAACGAUAGCAACGAUGACUUUGAUGAAGUCAAACAAGAUAUUUCUAGCUUCCGUUAUGAGAUCCUCAAUCAUUUACAAUCUCGAGAAGACGAGAGUCAAGAUUGUCGAGAAAAGAUAAACAAGAUGGAGCAGAAAAUGACUCACCUGAUUCAUCAACAAACUGUGCUCCUUAAUAAACUAGGUCAAACAAACACCGCAGACGUUUAUCAAAAUGGCGGGCAUGCUAAUGACGUUCAUAGAAGCAGAGAUAAAAGUGAGGAUGAUACAGGCCUUGCAGCUCCUCUGUUGACAGAAAGUGCUUAUUCUUCAUUAGACGAACCAUCGUUGGAGGACGAACUCUUGCAGCAAUUAUCAAUGUCCAGGAAUCAGUAUUUGGAGGACAUUCCGGAAGAGGAAGCGACGUCACAGAGAGAGGACAGGCGUCUGAAGGUCAGAGUUCGCUCAGAUAGUCAGGACACUAAUACGUCACCACGGUUAUCACGUCAACAGUCGCUGGAUGAUGAAAACUACUCCACCGAUGACAUCAUCGUUCAUGUGAUGAACGAAAAUGACGUCAAAAACGCGUUUGAUGCCAAACUGUGAUAUUUGUAUAAAUUGGUUUUUUUAUUG